rnacentral:rRNA from 1 species
UACGGAGGGUGCGAGCGUUAUCCGGAAUUACUGGGUUUAAAGGGUGCGUAGGCGGCUAUGUAAGUCAGGAGUGAAAGUUUGCGGCUCAACCGUAAAAUUGCUUUUGAUACUGCAUGGCUGGAAUUAGGUUGAGGUCAGCGGAAUGUGGCAUGUAGCGGUGAAAUGCAUAGAUAUGCCAUAGAACACCAAUUGCGAAGGCAGCUGGCUAGACCUGGAUUGACGCUGAGGCACGAAAGCGUGGGGAGCGAACAGG